rnacentral:lncRNA from 1 species
UGAUGCCUUGAUCUGACUGUUUGGAUGUAGAUCAACCCUUGAUUUGUUGCAACACACUUGACUAUCGACGUGCUGCCUUCUUCUUCCUCCGAUGCAAAUCUGGAUCUUCCAACACUUGGGUCUUCUAGAUGAUGGAUGCCCAACACCUUGGGUGUAUAGACAAUAGCGUGUAGAGGCUAGGCGUGUGAGAGGAGGGAGAGGGAUGGUG